GGGGGGCCCCGCCCUUCAUCUGCUCCCAUGAUGGCGCCGGAUCCACAUCCACAGCCACGGUGCCGGCACCCAUGGAGUGACCGUGUGCUUCUUCUCCAUGGACAUGGAGCUCCCACAACACACCAUGGAAGGCCUGGAGCUCCUUCUCACGGCAGGUGCACCGCGUACGGGAGGGAAGACCAACGCUCCUCCGGGUCUGCUUCUUCAUGGGUCGCCGUUGCUCCACGGAAGGUUAAAUGGUAACCUUACAAAUGAUCCUUCUCUUUGUAUGAUCGAUAUUAGGAGGGCUUUGCAGUUCUGGAUGUGCCGAUGAGGUAGCUUGCAUUGGCUUUGACAUAUCAGACGGCAUUGGCUUACUCUAAAUAUCUUGGGAGGUACCUAUGCAAACUAUGACCCUCCUG